AACGAACGCUGGCGGCAUGCCUAACACAUGCAAGUCGAACGAGACCUUCGGGUCUAGUGGCGCACGGGUGCGUAACGCGUGGGAAUCUGCCCUUCGGUUGGGAAUAACUGAGAGAAGUUUCAGCUAAUACCUUAUAAUGUCUUCGGACCAAAGAUUUAUCGCCGAGGGAUGAGCCCGCGUAGGAUUAGGUAGUUGGUGGGGUAAUGGCCUACCAAGCCGACGAUCCUUAGCUGGUCUGAGAGGAUGAUCAGCCACACUGGGACUGAGACACGGCCCAGACUCCUACGGGAGGCAGCAGUGGGGAAUAUUGGACAAUGGGCGAAAGCCUGAUCCAGCAAUGCCGCGUGAGUGAUGAAGGCCUUAGGGUUGCAAAGCUCUUUUACCCGGGAUGAUAAUGACAGUACCGGGAGAAUAAGCUCCGGCUAACUCCGUG
rnacentral:rRNA from 1 species